GGGCCUUUAGCGUAGUCCGGAUAACGCGUUCGGCUUCGGACCGAAAGAUCGGGGGUUCAAAUCCCUCAGGGCCCA
rnacentral:tRNA from 1 species